CUGACAUCUGUAUCUCAGACUGAAGGUGCGGAUGCUGCUGGGUCCCAGACGGGUCCGGGUUCAGGACCAGAGGUGGAGGCUCGGACGCCGUCUCUGACGUCGGUUGGGUCGACGGAUCAGACUGAAAUCACACACAAGCGUGUUUUUUCACAUUUGAUGUUUCACGGACGGCCCGCCUUCCGCCGUCCCUCCGUCACGCAGCUGUCAUCCCAGCUCUCUAUCUCUUUCCAUCACUCACUUCGCUCCUCAUCUGACGCUGAUAAAAGCAGCUCCGCAGGCCGGGUCUCGCUCUCCUCUCCAGAGCCCAGAUAACUGAGCGCACUGUGGGUCCACGCUGGGACGCUCAUGGACACGUUCUGUAGAUUGUGAACACAAGAGGCACUCGGGAACGACGACUGUCUGUUUCCCACUCGUUCGCAGGGUCGACCGCUUGAGAACAGGAGGCUGGAACCGUCUUACCUCGCAGCGGUAACACUUGAGGUGGAAGUUCUUAUCCAGAGCCACCACUCUCACAGUCUCUUCGCUGCCUGGGGCUGGAACGAUGGGCUCAUUACAGCUCACGCACAGAGGGGAGAAGCGCCUGAUUGAAACAUUGUCAGUCAGGUACAUUGUCACACACUCACAAUCAUAGUUAAUGAACACAGACGGCUAAGUAGUCUGAAACCAAAUCAGAGGCGCUUUGCCUCUGAUGUUUGUGAAGAUUAGUCACGUUUCCUGAAUCCCAUGAAUUAUUAUUUAAUCUCCAGUUCAACAAGCUGCAUUGUUUUUUUUGCAGCAGGAGAUGGAGAAAUAACCAAAUUAGCUUUAAUCAAGUUAGAAAAUGUUCUCAGGCAUCCACUCGGACUCUUUAUGUGAUACUCAGUCAUUCUGCACAUUACCCUGCCAGCUCCCUUGUACAACGAGCUACUGCUGUAAUUCUGAGAUGAACACGCCAUAAAAACAGAACAAUCUAAACACUUCCCCAGUGCUCUGUGGAGAAACAUUGCAUUGAUCUGUAUAGUUUCACACAAGAUUAAACGAUGCAGAUCUAAUCCCUUUCUUUGAAUUUUAUUUCUUGCACUACGGUGAGAGACAAUGCAUCGCAAAAAUGCUCACUGUCAUUAAGAAAUGUACAAAGAAUGAAACUAUGUUCUUGUUACAAACACUUGCUACUGUACCUGUGGUAAUCCUGCACACAGUAGGGGUUGUUGUUGUCGUCGGUGAUAAAGGGCGCCCCCUCGAGUACGCAGGAGCAGGUGCUGCAGCGGAAGCAGUGAGCGUGGAAACACUGGCCCACUGCCUUCAGCACACGGUCUGUGAUCCUCUCCCCACAUCGGCAACACACAGCUAGGGAGCUCUGAGGGAGAAGAGAAGGAAACGUCAAAGAGAUAGACAUGAAAGUCAAGUAAAUCAUAAACACAAGUCUGUUUUGUGUAAUUUCAGAUCCAAGGUGAGUUGCAAAAUAAACAAACUUAAAAACAGGACACUGGUGCUUUCACGACUGUCUGUUUAAAAUCGUGUUUAUCAAGACUGUACCAUUAUGUUAAUGUUACAAAUGCCAUUAAAGAUAUUUCAGCGCAACAUGCAAAACAUUAUUAACACUUACCAGAUACCAAUACCGGAAAGACCAGAUUAACUUUGGAAUAAAAAUGAAUGCCAAAAUGAAUUUGUAACACUUAAAGGUCAAUUAUUCAAUUAAAGUUGAAAGUUUGUUCAUUUCAUCAGAACAAGUUGCAUCUUUGUUCCAAUACUUAGGAGCCUGGCUAUGUAAAACCUGCAUGUGUGUGCGUCUCCUCACCACGUAGCAGUCCUCACACUGAGGCGCACCGUCCCGGUCGUAGAACUGCAUGCCCUGCAGGGGGCGAUGGCAGCUCAUGCAACAGAAGCAGUUGGAAUGGAAGAGUUUAUCCAUGGCCCUCACCGCGGGCUGAGUACGGGACAGAGACUCGCCACACUUCCCACAAACCUCUAAAAUGUGUGCUGUGCCCAGUUUACUCUUCGUUGAGCUUUCAACCUGAACAGAUGAGGACAGAUAAAAGAAUCAAGCUGGCUUCUUUCCAAACUACGGUCACUCUCCACUGUUUUUUUUCUCCCUCCGUCUGACUCAUUCGCUUGCCGCACACCAAGCGUGUGAGUUAAAGUCUGCUGUCGAAUUCCUUCUUAUUUCAUCUGAGCUCUGUGGGUCUUUCGAACCAGACAGUUUUCCACAUGCAUUUUUCCUUUUUACCUUGGGGUUGAAAGGUCCCCUGGUCUCCAUCUCAGACAACAAGUCAGUCAGAGAGUCGAGCUGCUGAUCGAAGCUAGUCUGCUUCUCCACCAGUUUCUGGGAGAGAAAGAAAGUCAUUAUUUACCUACACAAAUAAAUAAUAUUUUUAAAAGCAUUACAUGUUUAAUUUAAUUAAUCUAGAAUAAAUGACUACAGACUCAGACUCAA